rnacentral:rRNA from 1 species
UACGGAGGGUGCAAGCGUUAUCCGGAUUCACUGGGUUUAAAGGGUGCGUAGGCGGAUAGGUAAGUCCGUGGUGAAAUCCUGCAGCUUAACUGCAGAACUGCCAUGGAUACUAUCUAUCUUGAAUGUCGUGGAGGUUAGCGGAAUAUGUCAUGUAGCGGUGAAAUGCUUAGAGAUGACAUAGAACACCACUUGCGAAGGCAGCUAACUACGCGAUAAUUGACGCUGAUGCACGAAAAGCGUGGGGGAUCAAACAGG